rnacentral:rRNA from 1 species
UACGGAGACUGCAAGCGUUGUUCGGAUUUACUGGGCGUAAAGGGUGCGCAGGCGGCCGGGUGUGUCGGGUGUGAAAGUUCGAGGCUCAACCUCGAAACUGCGCUCGAAACUAUCCGGCUAGAGUAUUGGAGAGGGAAGCGGAAUUCAUGGUGUAGCAGUGAAAUGCGUAGAUAUCAUGAGGAACACCAGUGGCGAAGGCGGCUUCCUGGACAAUUACUGACGCUCAGGCACGAAAGCGUGGGGAGCGAAAGGG